rnacentral:SRP_RNA from 1 species
GGGAGGUUGGCGUUGGACGUUUCACUCGCCAACCGGGUCAGGUCCGGAAGGAAGCAGCCCUAACGAGCUUGAGCGGGUCUCCGUCCAGCCUCCUACC